ACGCUAGCGGCAGGCCUAACACAUGCAAGUCGAGGGAGGAGCUUUCGGGCUUCGACCGGCGUACGGGUGCGUAACGCGUAUACAAUCUGCCUUUCACAUAGGGAUAGCCCGAAGAAAUUUGGAUUAAUACCUAAUGGUAUAUAGGGAUGGCAUCAUUUUUAUAUUAAAGCUGAGGCGGUGAAAGAUGAGUAUGCGUUCUAUUAGCUAGUUGGAGAGGUAACGGCUCCCCAAGGCGACGAUAGAUAGGGGUUCUGAGAGGGAUAUCCCCCACACUGGUACUGAGAUACGGACCAGACUCCUACGGGAGGCAGCAGUGAGGCAUAUUGGACAAUGGUCGGAAGACUGAUCCAGCCAUGCCGCGUGCAGGAAGACGGCCUUAUGGGUUGUAAACUGCUUUUGCAGGGGAAGAAUAAGGACUACGAGUAGUUUGAUGACGGUACUCUGCGAAUAAGCAUCGGCUAACUCCGUGCCAGCAGCCGCGGUAAUACGGAGGAUGCGAGCGUUAUCCGGAAUCAUUGGGUUUAAAGGGUCCGUAGGCGGGCUAAUAAGUCAGAGGUGAAAGCGCUCAGCUCAACUGAGCAACUGCCUUUGAAACUGUUAGUCUUGAAUGGUUGUGAAGUAGUUGGAAUGUGUAGUGUAGCGGUGAAAUGCUUAGAUAUUACACAGAACACCGAUAGCGAAGGCAUAUUACUAACAAUUAAUUGACGCUGAUGGACGAAAGCGUGGGGAGCGAACAGGAUUAGAUACCCUGGUAGUCCACGCUGUAAACGAUGGAUACUAGCUGUUUGGAUGAAAGUUUGAGUGGCUAAGCGAAAGUGAUAAGUAUCCCACCUGGGGAGUACGCACGCAAGUGUGAAACUCAAAGGAAUUGACGGGGGCCCGCACAAGCGGUGGAGCAUGUGGUUUAAUUCGAUGAU
rnacentral:rRNA from 1 species